GAGGAUAUAGCUCAGUGGUAGAGUGUGUGCUUAGCAUGCAUCAGGUCCUGGGUUCAAUCCCCAGUACCACCU
rnacentral:tRNA from 1 species